AGUCUGGUGCCAGCAGCCGCGGUAAUUCCAGCUCCAAUAGCGUAUAUUAAAGUUGUUGCAGUUAAAAAGCUCGUAGUUGGAUCUCAGGAUUUGGAUGGAUGGUUCGCUUUCGGGCGCUACUAUCUGUCUGACCUACUCUAGUCGUGGAUGCCUUGGGUGCUCUUAAUUGAGUGCUUUUGGUGCCCGACGCAAUUACUUUGAAAAAAUUAGAGUGCUCAAAGCAGGCGUAUUGCCUGAAUAGUGUUGCAUGGAAUAAUGAAAUAGGAGUUUACUUCUAUUUUGUUGGUUUUCGGAGGUGAACUAAUGAUUAACAGGGACAGACGGGGGCAUUUGUAUGGAGGGGUUAGAGGUGAAAUUCUUGGAUCCUCUCCAGACAAACUACUGCGAAAGCAUUUGCCAGGAAUGUUUUCACUAAUCAAGAACGAAAGUCAGAGGUUCGAAGACGAUCAGAUACCGUCCUAGUUCUGACCAUAAAUGAUGCCAUCUAACAAUCCACGAAGUUUGCUUGUACGAACUCGUGGGCGGUCCCCGGGAAACCAAAGAUUUUGGGUUCCGGGGGAAGUAUGGUUGCAAAGCUGAAACUUAAAGGAAUUGACGGAAGGGCACCACCAGGAGUGGAGCCUGCGGCUUAAUUUGACCCAACACGGGAAACCUCACCCGGCCCGGACACUUUUAGGAUUGACAGAUUGAAGGCUCUUUCUUGAUCAAGUGGUUGGUGGUGCAUGGCCGUUCUUAGUUGGUGGAGCGAUUUGUCUGGUUAAUUCCGAUAACGAACGAGACUCUACUCUGCUAAAUAGAACGUUGAUAUAUAAAAGUCAGUGCUGACUUCUUAGAGAGACUAACGGCGUUUAGCCGUGUGAGAAAGAGCAAUAACAGGUCUGUGAUGCCCUUAGAUGUCCGGGGCCGCACGCGCGCUACACUGACUGCAGCAACUAGUAUGCUCCUGGUUUGAAAAAACUGGGUAACCUGGUUGAAUUGCAGGCGUGACAGGGAUCAGAGUUUGCAAUUAUCCUCUGUGAACGAGGAAUUCCCAGUAAGCGCAAGUCAUUAGCUUGUGCUGAUUACGUCCCUGCCCUUUGUACACACCGCCCGUCGCUACUACCGAUUGAAUGGUUUAGUGAGGUCUUCGGAUUGGUGCUGAUGGAGUGGUUCUCUGCUCUGUUAGUGCCGAGAAGAUGAUCAAACUUGAUCAUUUAGAGGAAGUAAAAGUCGUAACAAGGU
rnacentral:rRNA from 1 species